rnacentral:rRNA from 1 species
ACGCACGUGUGAAACUUGAGGGAAUUGACGGAAGGGCACCACAAGAACGCGUGGAGCAUGUGGCUUAAUUUGACCCAACGCGGGAAAUCUUACCGGGUCCGGACACACUGAGGAUUGACAGGCAAUAUUAAUAUGUGUAUACUUUUUUUCUUUCACGAGUUGGAAAGCUUUACGUAUAUUAUGUUAAAUAUGCUAGUCCUUUCAUGAUUAUGUGAUAGGCGGUGCAUGGCCGUUCUUAGUUCGUGGAGUGAUCUGUCUGCUUAAUUGCGUUUCACUAAGGGCCUAUACAAUUACGUAUGUUGUUGAUUGCACUUUGACCCCUCCUUCACGGGAGAGUGUGUCUUUGCUUGCUAACAACUACUACAAUUAGGUCCUGAAAGCAACGAACGUGACCG